rnacentral:rRNA from 1 species
UGCCCGGGAUAAUUUCUGGAAACGGAAACUAAAACCGGAUAGGUAAUAGAGAAGCAUUUCUGUAUUAUUAAAGAAGCCUCAAAGCUUUGAACAUGGAUGGACCUGCGGUGCAUUAGCUAGUUGGUAAGGUAACGGCCUACCAAGGCGACGAUGCAUAGCCGACCUGAGAGGGCGAACGGCCACAUUGGGACUGAGACACGGCCCAAACUCCUACGGGAGGCAGCAGUAGGGAAUUUUCGUCACUGGGGGGAACCCUGAACGAGCAAUGCCGCGUGAGUGAAGACGGUCUUCGGAUUGUAAAGCUCUGUUGUGAGAGAAAAAGGAUAUAUAUAGGAAAUGAUAUGUAUUUGAUGGUAUCUCACCAGAAAGUCACGGCUAACUACGUGCCAGCAGCCGCGGUAAUACGUAGGUGGCGAGCGUUAUCCGGAAUGAUUGGGCGUAAAGGGUACGUAGGCGGCAUGAUAAGUCUGGAGUGAAAGGCUACAGCUCAACUGUAGUAUGCUCUGGAAACUGUCAAGCUAGAGUGCAGAAGAGGGCAAUGGAACUCCAUGUGUAGCGGUAAAAUGCGUAGAUAUAUGGAAGAACACCGGUGGCGAAGGCGGUUGCCUGGUCUGAAAUUGACGUUGAAGUAGGAAAGCGUGU